rnacentral:rRNA from 1 species
CAUGCAGCCGAGCGGUAGAGAUCUUUCGGGAUCUUGAGAGCGGCGUACGGGUGCGGAACACGUGUGCAACCUGCCUUUAUCAGGGGGAUAGCCUUUCGAAAGGAAGAUUAAUACCCCAUAAUAUAUUGAGUGGCAUCACUUAAUAUUGAAAACUCCGGUGGAUAGAGAUGGGCACGCGCAAGAUUAGAUAGUUGGUGAGGUAACAGCUCACCAAGUCUGCGAUCUUUAGGGGGCCUGAGAGGGUGAUCCCCCACACUGGUACUGAGACACGGACCAGACUCCUACGGGAGGCAGCAGUGAGGAAUAUUGGACAAUGGGUGCGAGCCUGAUCCAGCCAUCCCGCGUGAAGGACGACGGCCCUAUGGGUUGUAAACUUCUUUUGUAUAGGGAUAAACCUACUCUCGUGAGAGUAGCUGAAGGUACUAUACGAAUAAGCACCGGCUAACUCCGUGCCAGCAGCCGCGGUAAUACGGAGGGUGCAAGCGUUAUCCGGAUUUAUUGGGUUUAAAGGGUCCGUAGGCGGAUCUGUAAGUCAGUGGUGAAAUCUCACAGCUUAACUGUGAAACUGCCAUUGAUACUGCAGGUCUUGAGUGUUGUUGAAGUAGCUGGAAUAAGUAGUGUAGCGGUGAAAUGCAUAGAUAUUACUUAGAACACCAAUUGCGAAGCAGGUUACUAGCACA